GGAACCACCACCACCACCACC
rnacentral:siRNA from 1 species